rnacentral:rRNA from 1 species
GGGUCUAAUACCGGAUAUGACCAACUGUCGCAUGGUGGUUGGUGGAAAGCUUUUGCGGUGUGGGAUGGGCCCGCGGCCUAUCAGCUUGUUGGUGGGGUAAUGGCCUACCAAGGCGACGACGGGUAGCCGACCUGAGAGGGUGAUCGGCCACACUGGGACUGAGACACGGCCCAGACUCCUACGGGAGGCAGCAGUGGGGAAUAUUGCACAAUGGGCGCAAGCCUGAUGCAGCGACGCCGCGUGAGGGAUGACGGCCUUCGGGUUGUAAACCUCUUUCACCAGGGACGAAGCGUGAGUGACGGUACCUGGAGAAGAAGCACCGGCCAACUACGUGCCAGCAGCCGCGGUAAUACGUAGGGUGCGAGCGUUGUCCGGAAUUACUGGGCGUAAAGAGCUCGUAGGCGGUUUGUCGCGUCGUCUGUGAAAUUCUGCAACUCAAUUGCAGGCGUGCAGGCGAUACGGGCAGACUUGAGUACUACAGGGGAGACUGGAAUUCCUGGUGUAGCGGUGAAAUGCGCAGAUAUCAGGAGGAACACCGGUGGCGAAGGCGGGUCUCUGGGUAGUAACUGACGCUGAGGAGCGAAAGCGUGGGUAG